rnacentral:lncRNA from 1 species
CUUCCUCUUCCUCUUCGGGCCGCCGGAGCGGAUGGCGGCGACGGCGCGGGUCGAGCUCGCCGGCGACAAAGAAGAGGGAAGAGAAAGAAUGAGAGGAAGAAAAAAAGGGAAGAGGAAGAAGGAGAGGAAGAGGGAAAGAAAGAGGGAAGAGAAAGAUGAAGAGGGAAGAGGGAGAGGAAGAAGAAGGGAGAAAAGGGAAGAGGGAGAGGAAGAAGGAGGAAAAGAAAGAGAGAGGGUUUGCCGUCGCCGCCGUCGCUGCCGCCGCCGCCCUCGCCGGCGACGAAGAAGAGGGAAGAAGAAGAUGAGGAAGAAGAAGAAGGGUAAGAUCGUAAAUUUACCUUAUAAUUAACCAUGGUUAAGUACUUUAACCGUGGUUAACGAAAAUUUUCUAACAGUCCUUAACGGCAGGGACAUAUCUGCAUAACUUUAGACUUUUGCAGAGAUAACUUAUGGAGUUUCCGUUUUGCAGGGAUAUUUCCGCAAUUGACUAUGUUUGCAGGGA